rnacentral:misc_RNA from 1 species
AAGUUUUUGCAGAGGCAGCAAUUUUUUUUUAAAACUUAAUAAAAACUAAAGAGUCGUUAUUCAUCAGUUACAAUGGGACAGACCAUCAGUUCAGGAGAACAAGGACUCCAUGUGAGUGAGAUAAAAAAUGAAGUACUUAGGUGUGCAUCAGUACUGAAAGAGAUAGCCUUGUUAUCAUAUGGAGAUUUCUUAAGGAAAGUUCAGAAACUGAACAGAAUAUCAAUGUCUAUUCCUGAUUCGUAUGGUAGAAAGCUUGUGUUCAUUGUAAAGAAAGGAACGGAUGCAUCAUUAUUCUGGAAGGGUACUGUUCAGAUAGCUUGUAUAAGGACGAUUGUUUCAUCUGGAAAGAUUGAGACGUAUAGACUAUUGAAUCUUCGACAGUUUCUUCGGGUCUAUAAGAUAAUGAUCUAUUAUACUAGUACAGCUCCACCUUCUAGUCAAGUUAAUCCAGUAAGAGAGCAUGUGGCUAGUUCAACCAGUACAUCGCAAGUUUCUGAAGAUGAGACUGAAGUUAAAAGAUAUGAUGAAUAUGCUUCUGAUUGCUGUUCCAUCUGGUCAGGUUCUUUGAAUACAUCUGUCAUUCUAAAUGAAAUUACUGCUGUGACGGACAUAGCCACUGACCUGGAUGAAUGUUGUAUAUGUAUGGAGAGAAAACCAGAAACUACUUUGCCUUGUGCUCAUAGCUAUUGUAUACGCUGUAUUGAACAGUGGAAUGUAUCCCACAACACUUGUCCAUUGUGUCGAGAAAAACUUGAAAGCACUGAUGAUUCAUGGGUAAUAUCUGAGGCUCCAAAUUCUGAAGAAAUGCAGCAAGAACUGCAACAAGCUUUAUUAUGUCUAGCAGAAGAGAGGCCUUGUGAUAGCCCAUAGAUACAAUGUUUUGCUAAUACGAAGUAUUGAAAACCAGUGAUGGUUACUACUAUAUUGAUGUCAUCUGAUGAAGGCAUUUUACUGACAUUAUUUUGUAGCAGUACAACAUACAGUGAUAUAUGGUUGAGGCAUUACACCUCUAGUGUCGACUCUAAUGAAAUGUGAUUUCAGUAUUAUAUCAGCAUCACCUAGUUAUAGAGGUGAUAGGUAUUACAUCCGUUUAGGGUGGUAUCUCUGUGUCAUACAGAAACCAUGUAAGCUCAACUGACAAGUUCUGAUGUCAAACCAAAAGCCUUUUGGGUGGCAAAAAAAGACAAAAGAAUAAUCAGAAAUGGUAGCUUUACACAGACAUUUUGUUUAAUAUCAGAAAAGGGCAAAUUUAAGAAGAAAAAUAGAAGAAAAAAAACAUUGUACUUUAAUUAUAUCACAAAUGUUAAGCUUAUUGAUGAAGUAUGUGUUUGUGUUGAAGUGAAUUAUAACUUUCAAAGACUUGAAAGAAAUGUUCUCAUAUUUCAUAAUGAUAGUAAAUCUGAUAAAGAAGUGCAUGUUUGAUAGUUGCUUAAAGCAGCAUUUCCUGACCAUUGGUUCAUGGAUAACCUUUUUGCAGGUAUACAGAAAUGUCCCGAGUGGAAAAAAAUAAAGAAAAAUGUUUUGUGAAAUAUUUGCUUUCCAUGCAAUUUACCUCCUCCUUUCUGGUUUGUUGUAAACCAAAUAAGCCUCAGAGCUUUGCGAAGAAGCUAAGAAGAAAAAUAAUAAGUUUAUGUACUCAUAACAGUUCUUAAGUGUUUCAAAAAAUAUUAUGGUAGCUCCUGGAGUGAUAAUGGUUGUGAACCAGUGGUUUAAAGAACUAACUGCAGCUUAUGUUUCAGAAAUGAUCACUUAUUUCAAUCUACGUGCCAUUGUUGUAACAUAUAUGGUGCAAGUGACUAAAGUAUGUUGGUUUUUUAAAGGGAAAAUUAAAAUUCUCCUGUCCUAGCUCUAGUCUGAAUGUGUUCGCAGUAACAACACGGCUUUGGACUAUCAAAGAUUAAGUUCUUUGAAUAUUUAUGUAAAUCACAAGUGGUCAACAUAACUUUAUAAUGUUGCUACAUAUCCUUUUUCUAUGAUGAAAUUCUGAGGAUUGUUUUCCAACUUUCUUAUCAAGAGUUUCUGAGGAAUGAGGUAGACAUGAAUUCUGCUCCUGAAGCUAAUCCCACAGGUUCUACAGAGAAUACUUGGCCAGUUUAUUCUCACAAUAAUCUACUGUUUACAGCAGCAGGCAGUGACUACAUGUGUACUUUAGAGAAUAAGAAUUUUCAUCUAUCAAAGUUAAGUGACCAAUAGCACUACUGAAAUGCUUGACAAUUUUUGCCAGAAUGUCAAUCCUAUAACCUAUAUCACCAUUAUUGAUUAUGUACACAUGCUCAUUGGAGUGAAUUUCUUCCCACACUUUGCCUAUUGUUACUGCCUAUCUUGAAAGAAAAACUACUAUAAGAAUGGACUCUCCACCAUUUCGUUUUUUGAACUUCCACCCCUCUAGAGCUUGUAGACAUGGGACCAGCUUUAGUGAAGAACCUAGUCUAUCUCGCUCACCAGACUUCUGGUAAAGAAAUGGAAAAAAUUUCCCCACAACUCUUCUAGGCUUAAAUAGGGUUGAGAUGGACUACUUGUUAAAAACUACCAAAAUAUUUUUACAGUCCCUGAGAAAAUGUUGGUACUAAAAAUCAACAAGCGUGACAUGCGAGGAAGUUGCUUUAAAACGUUAUACUUGCACAAUACGUGUCAAUACUUUGUGUAAUUUUAUAACUUAAAUAAAUUUUGAAAUUAACUUCUAUAGUACUUUUUGUGACAUAAAAUAUUUGUGGUAAGAAAUUCAAUGAACCAUUUAAGAAAAAGAAGUUUAUUACACAACACACUGUGUGUGGGCUGCUUUGCUCUUUGUCUCCAAACUCUAUACUUCAAGAGUCAAAUGGGCAAAUAGCUUCCAUGCCUUUAAAUCUUGUUUUAUCCCAAAUACUUGUAAAGUUAAAUGUCACGCACAAACAUAUUUCCUUAACAUUCACUUUUAUCUAAAUUUUACACAACCACACAGCACUGGACACUUCUGGCCCACUUAAGAUAUAAUACUCUGUUUACAAGGAAUUCCUAAUUUUUUUUCAACAACAAACAUUAUUCAAUAAAAUGGAUUUAUUUUAGAUUUAUUUCAAUAUUUGUAGUUAAAGUUAUUAUUUUAGCUGUUAAACACUUUAAUCUUGUGUUAACAGAUAAGUAUAAUUAUGACAUAAGUGUCAAGCAUGAGUAAACAACAACAUCAAUAUAUAGUAACUUGUGCUUUAUGAAGUUCUACUUUUGAAUCACCACCAAUCAGUAUUACUACUUGACAGCUGUUUUUUUAAUGUAUCCACAUAUAUAUAUAUAUAUAUAUGCACAUAUCUGAGUAGUGGUACUUCUGCAAUACAGGGAAAUUUCAAACUGGAAACUUGGGUACCAACUUAAAAAUAUUUUUGAAGCUUUAGCACUAAAAUUCAGCCCCCAUCCUGUAUUCACUGAGCAAUAUGUGAAAUUUGUUGGAGGAAAUACACUGCCACCUCACAUAAACCUGUAUAUAUACAUCUACAGAUUUAUGGUUUCUGAUUUGAAACCACUCAAAUAUUUUUUUUAUUUUUUCUUUUUACAAACUCCUAUAUACAAAAUGAAGCAGACAUAACAGCUUAAGCUACCAAGCAAGUUUCACUUCCAAUUCUAUACAUAUUCAUUCUGUAGAUUACUAUUACAAUAAUAUUUAAAAGUGGCUGUGAGUACACUAUUAAUAAAAUCAAAAUACAGAAAAUGAAGUUUCGAUGGUUGGUUUUUAUCAGAGCAGAAAUAUCAAUUCACCAUGUU